rnacentral:rRNA from 1 species
AGAGUUUGAUCAUGGCUCAGAACGAACGCUGGCGGCGUGCUUAACACAUGCAAGUCGAGUGCGCGUGCCGUAGCAAUACGGCAUGGCGCACGGCGCACGGGUGCGUAACACGUGGGCAAUCUGCCCUCCGAUGGGGAAUAACUCCGGGAAACCGAAGCUAAUACCGCAUAACAUUCCUUGGACUCCGGUCUGGGGAUUCAAAACCGCAAGGUGUCGGAGGAGGAGCCCGCGCCCGAUUAGCUAGUUGGCGAGGUAACGGCUCACCAAGGCGAUGAUCGGUAGCUGGUCUGAGAGGAUGGCCAGCCACACUGGAACUGAGACACGGUCCAGACUCCUACGGGAGGCAGCAGUGGGGAAUCUUGCGCAAUGGGCGAAAGCCUGACGCAGCGACGCCGCGUGGGGGAUGAAGCUUCUCGGAGUGUAAACCCCUUUCGACUGGGACGAAUGCCCGCAAGGGAGUGACGGUACCAGUAGAAGAAGCCCCGGCUAACUACGUGCCAGCAGCCGCGGUAAGACGUAGGGGGCCAGCGUUGUUCGGAAUUACUGGGUGUAAAGGGUUCGUAGGCGGUGUGGCAAGUCGGGAGUGAAAUCUCUGGGCUUAACUCAGAGGCUGCUUCCGAAACUGCUGUGCUAGAGUGUGGGAGAGGCGCGUGGAAUUGCAGGUGUAGCGGUGAAAUGCGUAGAUAUCUGCAGGAACACCCGUGGCGAAAGCGGCGCGCUGGACCACUACUGACGCUGAGGAACGAAAGCUAGGGGAGCAAACAGGAUUAGAUACCCUGGUAGUCCUAGCCCUAAACGAUCAGGACUUGGGGUGCCACCCGUUCGGGUGUCGUCCCGGAGCUAACGCGUUAAGUCCUGCACCUGGGGAGUACGUCGCAAGACUGAAACUCAAAGGAAUUGACGGGGGCCCGCACAAGCGGUGGAACAUGUGGUUCAAUUCGACGCUAC